ACGAACGCUGGCGGCGUGCUUAACACAUGCAAGUCGAACGCUGAAGCUUGGUGCUUGCACUGGGUGGAUGAGUGGCGAACGGGUGGGUAAUACGUGAGUAACCUGCCCUUGACUCUGGGAUAAGCCUGGGAAACUGGGUCUAAUACUGGAUACGACAUGUCACCGCAUGGUGGUGUGUGGAAAGGGUUUUACUGGUUUUGGAUGGGCUCACGGCCUAUAAGCUUGUUGGUGGGGUAAUGGCUCACCAAGGCGACGACGGGUAGCCGGCCUGAGAGGGUGACCGGCCACACUGGGACUGAGACACGGCCCAGACUCCUACGGGAGGCAGCAGUGGGGAAUAUUGCACAAUGGGCGGAAGCCUGAUGCAGCGACGCCGCGUGAGGGAUGACGGCCUUCGGGUUGUAAACCUCUUUCAGCACGGAAGAAGCGAAAGUGACGGUACGUGCAGAAGAAGCGCCGGCUAACUACGUG
rnacentral:rRNA from 1 species